UGCAGGAUUGCUCAUGCAAACCCUUCUGCAGGCAUAUGAGGCCAAUAUGAAGUACUGCACACACUGUAUUAUCACAUCCUCUGUCUCUAAGUCUCUCUCUCAAUUCAAUUCAAUUCAAAGGGCUUUAUAGGCAUGGGAAACAUAUGUUUACAUUGCCAAAGCAAGUGAAAUAGAUCAUAAACAAAAGUCUAAAAAACAAUUUAGACAUUACACACAAAAAGCUCCAAGACAAUAUACAUAUUAUGACUAUAUACAGUGUUGUAACGAUGUGCAAAUAGAUCAACAUAAAUACGGGCUGAAUUUACAAUUGUGUUUGUGGCAACAAGUCACACAUGUUGCUGCUGUGAUGGUACACUGUGGUAUUUCAGCCAAUAGAUAUGGGAGUUUAUCAAAAUUGGAUUUGUUCUUUUUGGGUCUGUGUAAUCUGAGGCCAAUAUCUGUCUCUAAUAUGGUCAUACAUUUGGCAGGAGGAUAUGAAGUGCAGCUCGGUGUCCACCUCAUUUUGUGGGCAGUGUGCACAUAGACUGUCUUCUCUUGAGAGACACGUCUGCCUAUGGCGGCUUCUCUCAAUAGCAAGGCUAUGCUCUCUCACUCUUUAGCUCUCUCUCACUAUCUCUCCCUUCUCUCUCUUUCUUUCUUUCUCUCUCUCUCUCCCUCCCUCCUCUCUCUUCCUUCUCUCUCUCUCUCUCCCCCUUCUCUCUCUCUCCCUUCUCUCUCUCUCCCUCCUCUCACCCUCUCUGUCUCUCUUUCCCUCCUUUCUCUUUCUCUUCUCCUAAGUGGUCUGCUCAUAAAGUUCCAAAAAUACUGUUACCUGUAAAAUAACAUGACCAUUAACCUCACAACCAGCAACUAGGAAACACUCCAAAAACCACCAGUAUCAGACUGAUGGACACAGUGACAGACCCAAAACACGCCCACUCCUCAUCGUCUAACUCUGCAGCUGAGUGAAGGUUUUUUUUCAGAGAACGACUAUAGAGUGUAACUUCCUUUUCAACUAACAUACCGGGAGUCUUUUCUAGAACAGCAGCCCUCAUCAAAUGAUGUCUCUCUCUCUUCUCUGUGUGUUUUGGUGAGUCUAGCUAUCUACCAGUCAGAGAUAGAUGAGGAGGACGUACAGCCAGAGGAAAGAGACACAACUCCUAACAGAGAUGUCUGGUGGUCCCCUCUCGUGUUUCUCCAAACAGGGAAUACUCCUACUCUCUAUCCUCCACUAUGGGCUGGUGUGGUGUAGCAUCUGCAUUGUAGUGGUGCUGACCCUCAUUGUAGCUGUGGCAGUGUAUUACUGCAGGGGCCGCCGUAACACGGUAUAUCAAAUUGACAACACAAUAUAUGCGGAUGUUAUGGGCAAUACAAGAAAUAAAGAUACAAGAGGGACAGUGGAUGACCUGGCUGAGCCAAGACUGAACAAACCGCAGACUUUGUAUGACGAGAUCAAAGUUGGACGCCCAAACGCGCCCUCUUCUGCCUACCAGGAAGUACUCGUGAGCUGAGCAGGAUGUGUUCAUAGGAUGGGCCUUAUAUCUCUGCAUCAUCUGCAUCCAAGGCUACAGUCUGUAGAUGGAUGUUACUGUUACAUUUUAUCACGACUUGCACAUUUCUGACAUUUGUUGCUUAUUUUUUUCAUGUUUGCAAUCUUCUCCCUUUAUUGUUCCUCAUAUCCAGGCUGCAUCUCAUCCGGAUGUGAUUGGGAGUCCCUUAGGGCGGCGCACAAUUGGCCCAGCGUCAUCCGGGGCUACCAUCAGGGCAACCAGGAGACAGACAGCAGCACUGACCCCCGGGAAUGCAGCCACAUCUGUACUGACCCCCUGUACUGGAGAGGGAGGGUCAAAGGUCAGGCUCAGGUCAGAGGUUGUGAUCUGGUAUAACAGGGAAACACUGAGGGAGAAUUUUUUUAUUUUACCUUUAUUUAUACAGGUUUUUCUCAUUGAGAUAACAUCUCUUUUCCAAGAGAGACCUGGUCCAAUAGCUGCAGAGGGAACAACGUUUCAGACAAAACAACUUACAUACACUAACACAACAUUAAACACAUACAGUACAACAAAAACAUUGUACAUUAAAAACACAAACGUCUUGACUAAAAACAGCUGGCCUAAAAACAAUUACACUCUUCUAUGAUAUAUACAUCGAUCAAGUGUUUAAACUCCACCAACGAAACUAGACACAUUAAAAUGUUCAGGAGAGAAUUCCAGGACCAUGGAGCUGAGUAACUAAAACUAUUUCUACCAUGACCUGUUCUAAUUUUUGGUACUGUUAGAAACAAAUCAGAAUGGGACCGUAAUUUAUAUUUAUUUACUGACCUGACUAAAAAAGAACAGAGAUAAAAUUGAAUAAUUAUAGAGACACAUUUUAUUCAUACUAAAUGUAUACAUAACAUUGCAUUUCUGAUGUACUGAACAAUAAUUGUCUGAGAAAAAUAAAUGCUGUUUAAAACUUGAAAAAAUAUAAUUUAAAGUACAUUUUGUGUCAUACUUACUUCUCAGUAGUCACUGGGCCUGUUGUUGAGGAAGCUGGAGAGGGAGAGGUCAGGUUGUUGGUGGACAGUUCAAUGUCAGAGUAAUGACACAACUUCUUGUGAGGACAGAUCACUAAAGCCCUGUAUUCUUUCACCUGAAUUAAUUAAUUAAUUCAUUAAUGUCAAGAAUCAGGGUAGAAAGGUUGUAUCACUGAGGCAUUGGGUCGUGGAGUCAUCCAAGCUCAUCAAACUCAAAGUUACCUCAAUGGUGCCCCCACCCUGGGUAGUCCAUCCAUUCAGAGGCAGAUACCUGUAUCCAAUACCUGUUUAGUCCAGUACACCUGUGUCCAGAGGCAUCAUGCCCAUAAGGAGCACAGGGGCAUGUGACCCCUCAGAUUUGUCCUGUAAGAAAAUGUUAAAAUAAUAAUAAUUCCAUGUUUUUGUUGUUUCUCUGCAAUACUACUAGCCACCUAGCAAUGUUAUGAAGUUGACUUCAGCUAGGCCAGGUAUGUUUCCAACCUGAUAACUAGUUAAGAAGCUAGCUGCUUUUAGCAACGCUAGUAGCCUAUUUACGCACUAGCAUUGCUAGGAAUUAGCUUGCAAAAACCAGAAUAGUCCGCCGGAAGCCAGAAGUGAAAUACAAUUACAUUUCAACUUACUCU